ACUAUGACUCUCUUAUACCAAAGAGCCACCACUGCCUUUGGAGGGUCACAAUAGCGGCGCGAAAGCGAAUGAUAUAACCGCUAGUGCGUCCGUCGCCAGCCCCCCUGUUUGUGGAUCACAUAAUGCUGUGGACGGACACGCGACACCAUCAAAUUGCGGGGACACCCUGAGAGCCUUGUCUACCAAGUCGCCUGCGGAAACGCACUGGCGAUGGCCGAGUUAAUCGCCCUGGGUACGGUAACAACGACAAGGAUGCAUGGGCAAUCCGCAGCCAAGUCCUACGUCGGACCGCGCACGUUCGAUAUGGAUGCUGUUCAUCGACUAAAUGGUGGUGGGUGAUCGCGCGCGUAUGCGAUUGCUUAAGAUAUAGUCAGGCCCUGGCGAGAGCCAGCUGCAUGUAUAAGAGGGGGACGCCGGGGGGACGUUCGACUCCAAGCUUGCAGGAGGGCGCUGUUUACUUGUCGUAGCAGCGCCUUUGGAAGGCGCUUCAUAUUUAGGAAUGAAGCCGUCACUUAAGCGCCAGAAUAAAAGAUGUUGGGGUCGUUGAACAUGUCAGUUGGCACAAUGUGGUCCAACUCAUCGUCUCCUAAGGUCGAAGGACAUGUCCGAUGUCGUCGUCCUGAAUGGGAUUGCCGAUUACAGUCCCCGUUCAGAGCGCAUUGUUCAGGAUAUCAGUGGCUUUGUUGCCGAUGUUGUUCUUGAUCAUCCGCACGCCACGUCCUG
rnacentral:misc_RNA from 1 species